AAGGUCUUUUAUCUCACCAGAAGGAAAAUUUUGCCUCUUUUUAAAAGGAAAAUAAUGAAAAAGAAAUUGUAGAUGAUUUGUGAAUUUUUCAGUGUGCGUUCUUCCUCCAGCUAUGCCAGUUGUAACUACCUCAUGACUUAGGAGCCAAGACCAUGAACGGCUGUAGCCAAGAUGAUUCAUCACCUGGUGGCCGACCUUCUGAACCAAAGUGCUUAAUCCUCACAGCAGUGGUGAUGAAGAUGGAUGGUGUGCUGUACCCAGCAUGUGGAAUAAUAUCACCAAAGCAACAUCUGUCUGGCAAUACUGUAACCAUGGAAGAAUUCCCCUGCAUGCCCCGUGCCAUAGGAAACAUCCCCACAUUGAGGACCCCAGGCACAAUAGCAUCACAUACCCACAAGAAAAAACAUUGCGAAUGGGGGAACUUUGUUUAUUUGCCCAGACAUUUAAAAUGGAGUGUGAAAUGACAUAGUGAGGAUUAGGUAUUUAAAACCAAUGACAGAUUUUACUACCCCCAAGUAAAACUGUCCCUUGUGCAAGAAACUUGAAUAUCAUGGGUACAAUAGAUAACUUCUGAAAUGUUUCCUAUCUGCCAAAAUGCUCCUUAACUUAAUUUACAACAGAUGGAAACAGUAAGGGGAAAAAAUUGAACAAGAAAGGGAAGCUACAAUGUCAAACUGUGCUUACAGUUGGGGAGAAAAAUUGGCAGAUAUAAAAUAAAAGAUCUGAAUGAAAGUCAAAUCAGGUAGUAAAAAUUAAGAUGACUUAAGGAAGUCUUAC